GACGAACGCUGGCGGCGUGCUUAACACAUGCAAGUCGAGCGGAAAGGCCCUUCGGGGUACUCGAGCGGCGAACGGGUGAGUAACACGUGAGUAACCUGCCCCAGACUUUGGGAUAACCCUCGGAAACGGGGGCUAAUACCGGAUACGACACAGCUUCGCAUGGGGUCUGUGUGGAAAGUUUUUCGGUUUGGGAUGGGCUCGCGGCCUAUCAGCUUGUUGGUGGGGUGAUGGCCUACCAAGGCGACGACGGGUAGCCGGCCUGAGAGGGCGACCGGCCACACUGGGACUGAGACACGGCCCAGACUCCUACGGGAGGCAGCAGUGGGGGAUAUUGCACAAUGGGCGGAAGCCUGAUGCAGCGACGCCGCGUGAGGGAUGACGGCCUUCGGGUUGUAAACCUCUUUCAGCAGGGACGAAGCGUAAGUGACGGUACCUGCAGAAGAAGCGCCGGCCAACUACGUG
rnacentral:rRNA from 1 species